GGUCCUGGGCCCAGUCUGUGCUGACACAGCAGCCCUCUCUGUCUGGGACUCCAGGACAGAGGGUUACCAUCUCCUGCACUGGAAGCAGCAACAAUAUUGGUAGCUAUAAUGUGCAUUGGUACCAGCAGCUCCCAGAAACAGUCCCUAAACUCCUCAUCUCUCAUAAUACUAAUAGACCCUCAGGGGUCUCUGAUUGCUUCUCUGGCUCCAAGUCUGGCAACUCUGCUUUACUGACCAUCACUGGGCUCCAGCCUGAGGAUGAGGCUGACUAUUGCUGUCAGUCUUAUGAUGACAGCCUUGAUCCUCUCACAGUGCUCCAGUCUCAUGGGGUAGUAAUAC
rnacentral:lncRNA from 1 species